rnacentral:rRNA from 1 species
UACGUAGGGGGCAAGCGUUGUCCGGAUUUAUUGGGCGUAAAGAGCGUGUAGGCGGUUUGGUAGGUCCGUUGUGAAAACUCGAGGCUCAACCUCGAGACGCCGAUGGAAACCGUCAGACUAGAGUCCGGAAGAGGAGAGUGGAAUUCCUGGUGUAGCGGUGAAAUGCGCAGAUAUCAGGAAGAACACCCGUGGCUAAGGCGGCUCUCUAGUACGGUACUGACGCUGAGACGCGAAGGCGUGGGGAGCAAACAGG